GCGCUCGUGGUCCAGGGGACACGACGCCGGCCUACGAAGCCGGAGACGGAGGUUCGAUUCCUCCCGAGCGUG
rnacentral:tRNA from 1 species